GCCAAAUAUCAGCCCAAUUAAUAUAUAGUAUACUAAUUGAAUAUGCUAAUGAACGAUAAAUUUUGGAGGUGCAACAAAGGUGAAAGCUUUUUGCAUUUUUCAUGAACUCGCUUCCCUUUUCCACACCUGAAUCCUCAUGGAAAAUUUAAUCCAGCUUAUUCAGGGGACUUGUUCAAGCAUAUGGAGAAGCACAACCAUGUCCUUACAGAAGCAUAUAGAUCACUGUUGCAUCAAGCCCAAAAGCUUCAGCAACCAAUUGGCCAUGGCAAACCUUAAAUGGAACUUCGAUCUGCGACAAAUUAAUCUUUGAUCUCUGCAGGUAGAGGAAGAAAUGCUUAUGCACAAGCUUUAUGGAGUUAUGGCAGCUCAUGGUCUCGUUAAAAAGAAUCCUUAUAAUUCCAACAAUCCUUAAAAUAGCAGAACAGCUCAACACUCCAAUAGGGAAGUCAAUGUAGCACAGGAGGAACAGUAGGACAUAAUUUUGGUUUGUUCACUCACAAAUUUUGGGAUCAAGGGCCAAAAUCGACAAUUGCCUAAUUGCACAUGCAGUAUGUUUCUUUGGGAAGCAUUUUAUUCUACAUAAAUAGAAGCAUAGUGGUGUUCAAGAAUUAUAAUGUGAAAUGAAUCUGGGCCUGUGUCUAACAAAGGGUGCAAUCCCUGUUACUUUUGAUAGGCCUUGUGUUCUAUGUGUUCCCACCAAUGUCUUUCUUGGUGGAAUUAUUUUCAGUGUUCAAGAGAAAUGGAAGCUUUCAAGAUUAUAUUACUUCUGUCACCCCCCACAUGGUUUUAAUCAUUGACAAAAGUUCUGAAGUGUCACUCUGUCAGUUAUCAAACACUAACAGUUCAUCCACUGCUACUCAUGAUGGUACCAUAUAUGUUCAGAGGUGGAUUAUUCAAAAUAAACAGUAAUCUUGAAAGUUGAAACACGACUAUGAACUAUUUUCACUCGUACUGCAUACUGCAUUAAACAGAGAUGGCAGAACACGAACGCUCCAUUGCUGCAAUGUGUUAUUGAAUGUGAUUAAGAAAAGGUGUAAUGUGUUAAUUCCUUUUUCUUAUGAACUGAUACAAAUUAGUUCUCAUCAGAAUGUUUGGAUUGAUGAGAAGGAGUACUCGUCAUAAUGUUAUAUAUAUAUCGUUGAGACUCUACAUGAACCUGUUAUCCAUGACAGGUGUGUCAAUUGUGAUGAAGGAAACUCAACCAAUUAGCAAAGCAAGUUAGUAAUGGAAAGUAUACUCCCAUGAUUCCGAAGGCUGAAGGUUGACCGCGAUGCACCAACAAUUUCAUUAAUAAAGUACAAUAAACAGUUGGCAUGUUCCAUGAUUGUUGGCCGACAUGUAUAUGUGGGACUGGAGGAGUAGGAUAAUGUAGAAUAGGCUAAAUGAGGCAAUAAGGGAGCCUAAGAUAAGGGAAAUGUCAACUCCUACUUAGCUCUAGCUCUAGCUCUAGCUCAUUCCAUUUUGAAAUACAUGAAUCCUUAUCUAAAACUCACUAAAAUUUGAGAUCCUUAUUUGAUUAUGUAUUGUACAACAAAGAUAUUAUAGGUUA